UACAGAGGUCCCAAGCGUUGUUCGGAUUCACUGGGCGUAAAGGGUGCGUAGGUGGUGAGGUAAGUCGGAUGUGAAAUCUCCGGGCUCAACCCGGAAAUGGCAUUGGAAACUACCUUGCUGGAGGAUUUGAGGGGGGAUUGGAAUACUUGGUGUAGCAGUGAAAUGCGCAGAUAUCAGGAGGAACACCGGUGGCGAAGGCGGGUCUCUGGGCCGAUACUGACGCUGAGGAGCGAAAGCGUGGGGAGCGAACAGG
rnacentral:rRNA from 1 species